rfam:Dipodomys ordii contig_51342, whole genome shotgun sequence.
GGGAAGGUGGCUCAGUGGUAGCGCGCUUGCCUUGCAUGCAUGAGGCCCUGGGUUCAAUUCCUCAGCACCCCA